GGAAGAGUGGCGAACGGGUGAGGAACACGUAAGAAUCUGCCCCUCGGUCGGGGACAACUUUUGGAAACGAAAGCUAAUACCCGAUACGCUGUGGAGUGAAAGAAUUUCGCCGAGGGAUGAUCUUGCGUCUGAUUAGCUAGUUGGUGUGGUAAAGGCAUACCAAGGCGACGAUCAGUAGCUGGUCUGAGAGGAUGAUCAGUCACACUGGAACUGAGACACGGUCCAGACUCC
rnacentral:rRNA from 1 species